GCAGCAGAAUGUGGGUACUUGCUUUCUUUAUGGAAGAUUAAGUGAUUUUUAAUGAUCCAGAAGUUGGAAAGCUUCCUCUGAGAACUCCAGACCUGGAUGUAAGACAGGUUAUACCUCCUUUAUGAAGAGAACAGUAGAGCACUCAGCUUGAAAAUACGUUUUAGGUCUUGGAAGAUGGCUUCUGCAACUGACCAGCUAUGCAACUUUAAUCUCUGCAAGGAAGGCAUGAAGGAAUACUUCCCAUUUUAAAAAGGAAGAAAAUGAAGCUUUGCUUGUGUGGGAUCUCCAAGAAGCAGAUACCUGUUUGGGAUCAAAACUGCAAGGACCCUAUUAGGGAAGAUGCCUGCAUGAGAGGAAAUAGGAGGAGAGCUGGGACACUGGAAGAGCCAUCAGACCAUGAGUCAAAUCUGCCCUUGGGUGAAGGAGAGAGAAAGCAUCCCAGAGCAUCGCAGAGUCUAAGAAAGUUCCCCAAGGUCAUCAGGGAGUCCUUGAGCUAAUGAUGGUCACCCAGGGAGUUCUCUGAGCCAAGAUUCCCCAGCCCUCAAAGGCAGGCCACGCGAGGCAGUAGAGAGCCCCCGUCAGAAGAUGCACUUUGCUACCCAGUGCACUGCUCUCCCACUGCUUCAAUAAUUUGUUACUAAACAAACAAAGUCACCGAGGGAAUUGCUGCCAGUAGAUAAUGACCUCCUGCUUUGCAAUUAAGCACUGACAUUCAGCUUUGCCUCAACAACCACAGUAUAUUGCUGCCUCCUGUCCCAGUGUUCUUUCCCAUGAAUGUUUUCUGCUAAUCAAAUGUAUUAUCUUAU